CAGUAGCCACGGUAAUACGUAGGUGGCAAGCGUUGUCCGGAAUUAUUGGGCGUAAAGGGCUCGCAGGCGGUUUCUUAAGUCUGAUGUGAAAGCCCCCGGCUCAACCGGGGAGGGUCGUUGGAAACUGGGAAACUUGAGUGCAGAAGAGGAGAGUGGAAUUCCACGCGUAGCGGUGAAAUGCGUAGAGACGUGGAGGAACACCAGUGGCGAAGGCGACUCUCUGGUCUGUAACUGACGCUGAGGAGCGAAAGCGUGGGGAGCGAACAGGAUUAGAUACCCCGGUAGUCCCUGUCUCUUAUAC
rnacentral:rRNA from 1 species